rnacentral:tRNA from 1 species
GGGCGUAUAGCUCAGUUGGUAGAGCAGCUGACUCUUAAUCAGCGGGUCCAAGGUUCGAGUCCUUGUGCGCCCACCA